AGAAGGGAGCCUGGUGGAUGUGGGGCUGACCAGCUCUGAGACAGCUGACGGCAAGAAGGCGACUUUCCAUGCAGUAUUAGGAUGAAGUUUCAUGUGAGCCUCUGGGUCCCACAGCGGUUAUAUAGAGCCCACAGAAUAGGCACCUACACAGCCAGGGUGACAUCUUGAAUUUCCAAAGCACACCCAUGACACUUUCUUUGGCUGAUGAAAUGCAUUUAGAGGUGAUUUGUGUCACAUCAAGAAGCCGCCUGGUCACAGAAGCCAUGGGAGCAUGUUAAGAUGGAGCCUCUGUCAGCUUGGUUUCUCAGGCAGCAGUGAAGAAGUUCCUGGUGACACCUGCAGUUGUGACCCUGGCGUUGAGAAUCCAUUAAUUCUUCUCCAUCUGCUUGUAUCAGUGGCUUAGGCAACCCUGGGCGUCACGGUCUUGUGCACAGCAGAGCCAUCUUCCUCUUGAAAUAUAGCGUAAAAAUCUGGGACAACAUCAACAUGGAAAAUAUCAUUUAUAGGCAAGGGCAGAUUGUUAUAUUUGUCAAUAAAGUCACCUUUCUUUCCAAUA